AGAGAAUAGAUACCCCGGUAGUCCACGCCCUAAACGAUGCAUAUUUGGUGUGGGCAGUUCAUUCUGUCCGUGCCGGAGCUAACGCGUUAAAUAUGCCGCCUGGGGAGUACAGUCGCAAGGCUGAAACUCAAAGGAAUUGACGGGGGCCCGCACAAGCGGUGGAGCAUGUGGUUCAAUUCGACGCAACGCGAAGAACCUUACCUGGGCUCGAACGGCUGGUUAACGGCGGUGGAAACAUCGCUACCCCGCAAGGGGGUCCAGUCGAGGUGCUGCAUGGCUGUCGUCAGCUCGUGUCGUGAGAUGUUGGGUUAAGUCCCGCAACGAGCGCAACCCUUGUCCUGUGUUGCCAUGCCGAAAGGCGGAACUCGCAGGAGACCGCCAGCGAUAAGCUGGAGGAAGGUGGGGAUGACGUCAAGUCCUCAUGGCCUUUAUGUCCAGGGCUACACACGUGCUACAAUGGCCGGUACAAAGCGCAGCAAACCCGCGAGGGGAGCCAAUCGCAAAAAACCGGUCUCAGUUCGGAUUGCAGG
rnacentral:rRNA from 1 species